rnacentral:lncRNA from 1 species
CUUAUCUACCGAAUAUUUCCUCUGGAGCUCGUUCAUUGAAUAAGUUUCUCUGGCCUGGGAAGGGACUUGUGUUGUGCAGAACAGGAAAAGAGGAACUUGACUAAACUCACUAGAUGGUAAACUACGCAAAAGACUGGAUUGUGUAUUUUUCUUUUUUUUUCCCAUAGUGCAUUGGACAAUGCAGCACAUGGCAGGAGCCCAGUGAAUGAUUAUUGCUCAGAGAAUCAUAGAAGAUCAGAGCCGUGAGGAGACUUAGAAAAGACCCUGGUUCUGGGGUCAGCCGGCAUUCAAAUUCUAAACUCCGCCAUGUACUCGUUGUGUGACCUCGGUCUCAGUUCCUCAUGUGCAAAAUGGGGUAGUAAUAAUAAUAGCUAUAGCACAGGAUUGUUGUGGGUGUUAAAUGGGUCUUCGGAGAACAUCCAUCUGAAUGUCCGUGACACAGGCAAUUCAUCUCUUCUGGUGGCUUCCUGUGAUUCUCUCAGCCCCCAGGAGCCUGGUAGUUCACUUUUCUCAUUUUCAAUGCAUUAUUCUUAAGAUGAGUGUGGAGCUAAGGGCUGCAAAACCAGUGUUUGACCACCUCAUUUGUAGGUUCUAGGCGAGGAAUGUAACAUCUUAUUUUGGAAUGGAAUAUUUUCUACUUAUUUUGCUUCUGGCCUUCGGGGGCAUCCGCUGGCGGGGGUGGGGGGAACUGAAGAAAGAAUUAGAAGGAAUUUCAUUUAAAAAAAAAAUGACUUGUCUUAGAGCAGCAAGAUUGAGGGGACAGUACAGAGAUUUCCCAUAUGCCCCUACCUCAACUCAUGCAUAACCCACACCACAUGAUUGACAUGAACCCACCCCUAAACUGGUACAUUAUUAUGAUGGAUAAACUAUACUGACACAUGAAAAUCACUCAAAGUCCAUAGUUUACAUUAGAGUCCACUCUUGGUAUUGUAUAUUCCAUGAGUUUGGACAAAUGUAUAAUGGCAAAUAUCCAUCAUCAUAGUAUCAUACAGAGUAAUUCCCCUGCCCUAAAAACCCUC